rnacentral:lncRNA from 1 species
GUCACAUUGGAUAUACAUAGCGGGAAUGAAAGGCCAGUAUCUUCAGGGACUCUCUCUCAAGUGGAUAAGCUUCGGAGAUUUUUGUAAUCUUUGGUCACCCUCUCCAUCUUUUUCCUAUUCCGGGUGAACCCUUGCUGAAGCAGGACAGCAAGCAGGUCCAGGUGGACCUCCAGGACCUGGGCUAUGAGACUUGUGCCAAAGCAAGAAUGAGGCUGAACAGGAGGAAACCACCAGUACCGGACUACAACUAUAGGGCCACCCACCACAUUGAAAACCAGAAGAGAAGAAAAACACAGUCUCUCUCAUUCUUGAGGAAGUGUAGUGUGGCAGUUAAGAGAAAAGAUCCUGGGGCCAGACUUGUUGCUUCAAAUCCCGAUUUGUAAACUUUCCUAUGCCCCAGUUUCUUCAAAU